UUAAGCGACUAAGCGUACACGGUGGAUGCCCUGGCAGUCAGAGGCGAUGAAGGACGUGCUAAUCUGCGAAAAGCGUCGGUAAGGUGAUAUGAACCGUUAUARCCGGCGAUGUCCGAAUGGGGAAACCCAGUGCAAUUCGUUGCACUAUCGUUAACUGAAUACAUAGGUUAACGAGGCGAACCGGGGGAACUGAAACAUCUAAGUACCCCGAGGAAAAGAAAUCAACCGAGAUUCCCCCAGUAGCGGCGAGCGAACGGGGAGCAGCCCAGAGUCUGAAUCAGCUUGUGUGUUAGUGGAACGGUCUGGAAAGUCCGACGGUACAGGGUGAUAGUCCCGUACACCAAAAUGCACAGGUUGUGAACUCGAAGAGUAGGGCGGGACACGUGGUAUCCUGUCUGAAUAUGGGGGGACCAUCCUCCAAGGCUAAAUACUCCUGACUGACCGAUAGUGAACCAGUACCGUGAGGGAAAGGCGAAAAGAACCCCGGCGAGGGGAGUGAAAAAGAACCUGAAACCGUGUACGUACAAGCAGUGGGAGCACCUUCGGGUGUGACUGCGUACCUUUUGUAUAAUGGGUCAGCGACUUAUAUUCUGUAGCAAGGUUAACCGUAUAGGGGAGCCGCAGGGAAACCGAGUCUUAACUGGGCGUUAAGUUGCAGGGUAUAGACCCGAAACCCGGUGAUCUAGCCAUGGGCAGGUUGAAGGUUGGGUAACACUAACUGGAGGACCGAACCGACUAAUGUUGAAAAAUUAGCGGAUGACUUGUGGCUGGGGGUGAAAGGCCAAUCAAACCGGGAGAUAGCUGGUUCUCCCCGAAAGCUAUUUAGGUAGCGCCUCGUGAAYUCAUCUUCGGGGGUAGAGCACUGUUUCGGCUAGGGGGUCAUCCCGACUUACCAACCCGAUGCAAACUACGAAUACCGAAGAAUGUUAUCACGGGAGACACACGGCGGGUGCUAACGUCCGUCGUGAAGAGGGAAACAACCCAGACCGCCAGCUAAGGUCCCAAAGUCAUGGUUAAGUGGGAAACGAUGUGGGAAGGCACAGACAGCCAGGAUGUUGGCUUAGAAGCAGCCAUCAUUUAAAGAAAGCGUAAUAGCUCACUGGUCGAGUCGGCCUGCGCGGAAGAUGUAACGGGGCUAAACCAUGCACCGAAGCUGCGGCAGCGACACKAUGUGUUGUUGGGUAGGGGAGCGUUCUGUAAGCCUGCGAAGGUGACCUGUGAGGGUUGCUGGAGGUAUCAGAAGUGCGAAUGCUGACAUAAGUAACGAUAAAGCGGGUGAAAAGCCCGCUCGCCGGAAGACCAAGGGUUCCUGUCCAACGUUAAUCGGGGCAGGGUGAGUCGACCCCUAAGGCGAGGCCGAAAGGCGUAGUCGAUGGGAAACAGGUUAAUAUUCCUGUACUUGGUGUUACUGCGAAGGGGGGACGGAGAAGGCUAUGUUAGCCGGGCGACGGUUGUCCCGGUUUAAGCAUGUAGGCUGGUUAUCCAGGCAAAUCCGGAUAAUCAAGGCUGAGGUGUGAUGACGAGGYACUACGGURCUGAAGUAACAAAUGCCCUGCUUCCAGGAAAAGCCUCUAAGCAUCAGGUAACAUCAAAUCGUACCCCAAACCGACACAGGUGGUCAGGUAGAGAAUACCAAGGCGCUUGAGAGAACUCGGGUGAAGGAACUAGGCAAAAUGGUGCCGUAACUUCGGGAGAAGGCACGCUGGUGUGUAGGUGAAGUCCCUGCGGAUGGAGCUGAGACCAGUCGAAGAUACCAGCUGGCUGCAACUGUUUAUUAAAAACACAGCACUGUGCAAACACGAAAGUGGACGUAUACGGUGUGACGCCUGCCCGGUGCCGGAAGGUUAAUUGAUGGGGUUAUCCGUAAGGAGAAGCUCUUGAUCGAAGCCCCGGUAAACGGCGGCCGUAACUAUAACGGUCCUAAGGUAGCGAAAUUCCUUGUCGGGUAAGUUCCGACCUGCACGAAUGGCGUAAUGAUGGCCAGGCUGUCUCCACCCGAGACUCAGUGAAAUUGAACUCGCUGUGAAGAUGCAGUGUACCCGCGGCAAGACGGAAAGACCCCGUGAACCUUUACUAUAGCUUGACACUGAACAUUGAGCCUUGAUGUGUAGGAUAGGUGGGAGGCUUUGAAGCGUGGACGCCAGUCUGCGUGGAGCCAACCUUGAAAUACCACCCUUUAAUGUUUGAUGUUCUAACGURGGCCCCUKAYCGGGGUUGCGGACAGUGUCUGGUGGGUAGUUUGACUGGGGCGGUCUCCUCCCAAAGCGUAACGGAGGAGCACGAAGGUUAGCUAAUCCUGGUCGGACAUCAGGAGGUUAGUGCAAUGGCAUAAGCUAGCUUGACUGCGAGCGUGACGGCGCGAGCAGGUGCGAAAGCAGGUCAUAGUGAUCCGGUGGUUCUGAAUGGAAGGGCCAUCGCUCAACGGAUAAAAGGUACUCCGGGGAUAACAGGCUGAUACCGCCCAAGAGUUCAUAUCGACGGCGGUGUUUGGCACCUCGAUGUCGGC
rnacentral:rRNA from 1 species